CCUACGGGUGGCAGCAGUGGGGAAUAUUGGACAAUGGGGGGAACCCUGAUCCAGCGACGCCGCGUGAGUGAAGAAGUAUUUCGGUAUGUAAAGCCCUAUCAGCAGGGAAGCAAGAACUGACGGUACCUGACUAAGAAGCCUCGGCUAACUACGUGCCAGCAGCCGCGGUAAUACGUAGGGGGCAAGCGUUAUCCGGAUGUACUCGGUGUAAAGGGAGCGUAGGCGGCGCUGCAAGUCUGAAGUGAAAGGCGGGGGCCCAACCCCUGGACUGCUUUGGAAACUGUAUGGCUGGAGUGCAGGAGAGGUAAGUGGAAUGCCUGGUGUAGCGGUGAAAUGCGUAGAUAUUAGGAGGAACACCAGUGGCGAAGGCGGCUUACUGGACUGUAACUGACGUUGAGGCACGAAAGCGUGGGGAGCAAACAGGAUUAGAUACCCGGGUAGUC
rnacentral:rRNA from 1 species